GUGAAUAACGUGUUUGCGUUCGCUUCGGCAGCGCAUUCGCACCCUCACAUCCAUAACACCUGUGAACCGUAAGAUGUGGUGAUUCGUUGCCCAUCUGCCCUUUUUAUCAAACAACUUGUAGUAACAAAAGUAGUAUUAUUAUAACCUAAUA
rnacentral:misc_RNA from 1 species